UUAAGCGACUAAGCGUACACGGUGGAUGCCCUGGCAGUCAGAGGCGAUGAAGGACGUGCUAAUCUGCGAUAAGCGUCGGUAAGGUGAUAUGAACCGUUAUAACCGGCGAUUUCCGAAUGGGGAAACCCAGUGUGAUUCGUCACACUAUCAUUAACUGAAUCCAUAGGUUAAUGAGGCGAACCGGGGGAACUGAAACAUCUAAGUACCCCGAGGAAAAGAAAUCAACCGAGAUUCCCCCAGUAGCGGCGAGCGAACGGGGAGCAGCCCAGAGCCUGAAUCAGUGUGUGUGUUAGUGGAAGCGUCUGGAAAGGCGCGCGAUACAGGGUGACAGCCCCGUACACAAAAAUGCACAUGCUGUGAGCUCGAUGAGUAGGGCGGGACACGUGGUAUCCUGUCUGAAUAUGGGGGGACCAUCCUCCAAGGCUAAAUACUCCUGACUGACCGAUAGUGAACCAGUACCGUGAGGGAAAGGCGAAAAGAACCCCGGCGAGGGGAGUGAAAAAGAACCUGAAACCGUGUACGUACAAGCAGUGGGAGCACGCUUAGGCGUGUGACUGCGUACCUUUUGUAUAAUGGGUCAGCGACUUAUAUUCUGUAGCAAGGUUAACCGAAUAGGGGAGCCGAAGGGAAACCGAGUCUUAACUGGGCGUUAAGUUGCAGGGUAUAGACCCGAAACCCGGUGAUCUAGCCAUGGGCAGGUUGAAGGUUGGGUAACACUAACUGGAGGACCGAACCGACUAAUGUUGAAAAAUUAGCGGAUGACUUGUGGCUGGGGGUGAAAGGCCAAUCAAACCGGGAGAUAGCUGGUUCUCCCCGAAAGCUAUUUAGGUAGCGCCUCGUGAAUUCAUCUCCGGGGGUAGAGCACUGUUUCGGCAAGGGGGUCAUCCCGACUUACCAACCCGAUGCAAACUGCGAAUACCGGAGAAUGUUAUCACGGGAGACACACGGCGGGUGCUAACGUCCGUCGUGAAGAGGGAAACAACCCAGACCGCCAGCUAAGGUCCCAAAGUCAUGGUUAAGUGGGAAACGAUGUGGGAAGGCCCAGACAGCCAGGAUGUUGGCUUAGAAGCAGCCAUCAUUUAAAGAAAGCGUAAUAGCUCACUGGUCGAGUCGGCCUGCGCGGAAGAUGUAACGGGGCUAAACCAUGCACCGAAGCUGCGGCAGCGACGCUUAUGCGUUGUUGGGUAGGGGAGCGUUCUGUAAGCCUGUGAAGGUGUGCUGUGAGGCAUGCUGGAGGUAUCAGAAGUGCGAAUGCUGACAUAAGUAACGAUAAAGCGGGUGAAAAGCCCGCUCGCCGGAAGACCAAGGGUUCCUGUCCAACGUUAAUCGGGGCAGGGUGAGUCGACCCCUAAGGCGAGGCCGAAAGGCGUAGUCGAUGGGAAACAGGUUAAUAUUCCUGUACUUGGUGUUACUGCGAAGGGGGGACGGAGAAGGCUAUGUUGGCCGGGCGACGGUUGUCCCGGUUUAAGCGUGUAGGCUGGUUUUCCAGGCAAAUCCGGAAAAUCAAGGCUGAGGCGUGAUGACGAGGCACUACGGUGCUGAAGCAACAAAUGCCCUGCUUCCAGGAAAAGCCUCUAAGCAUCAGGUAACAUCAAAUCGUACCCCAAACCGACACAGGUGGUCAGGUAGAGAAUACCAAGGCGCUUGAGAGAACUCGGGUGAAGGAACUAGGCAAAAUGGUGCCGUAACUUCGGGAGAAGGCACGCUGAUAUGUAGGUGAAGUCCCUCGCGGAUGGAGCUGAAAUCAGUCGAAGAUACCAGCUGGCUGCAACUGUUUAUUAAAAACACAGCACUGUGCAAACACGAAAGUGGACGUAUACGGUGUGACGCCUGCCCGGUGCCGGAAGGUUAAUUGAUGGGGUUAGCGCAAGCGAAGCUCUUGAUCGAAGCCCCGGUAAACGGCGGCCGUAACUAUAACGGUCCUAAGGUAGCGAAAUUCCUUGUCGGGUAAGUUCCGACCUGCACGAAUGGCGUAAUGAUGGCCAGGCUGUCUCCACCCGAGACUCAGUGAAAUUGAACUCGCUGUGAAGAUGCAGUGUACCCGCGGCAAGACGGAAAGACCCCGUGAACCUUUACUAUAGCUUGACACUGAACAUUGAGCCUUGAUGUGUAGGAUAGGUGGGAGGCUUUGAAGUGUGGACGCCAGUCUGCAUGGAGCCGACCUUGAAAUACCACCCUUUAAUGUUUGAUGUUCUAACGUUGACCCGUAAUCCGGGUUGCGGACAGUGUCUGGUGGGUAGUUUGACUGGGGCGGUCUCCUCCUAAAGAGUAACGGAGGAGCACGAAGGUUGGCUAAUCCUGGUCGGACAUCAGGAGGUUAGUGCAAUGGCAUAAGCCAGCUUGACUGCGAGCGUGACGGCGCGAGCAGGUGCGAAAGCAGGUCAUAGUGAUCCGGUGGUUCUGAAUGGAAGGGCCAUCGCUCAACGGAUAAAAGGUACUCCGGGGAUAACAGGCUGAUACCGCCCAAGAGUUCAUAUCGACGGCGGUGUUUGGCACCUCGAUGUCGGCUCAUCACAUCCUGGGGCUGAAGUAGGUCCCAAGGGUAUGGCUGUUCGCCAUUUAAAGUGGUACGCGAGCUGGGUUUAGAACGUCGUGAGACAGUUCGGUCCCUAUCUGCCGUGGGCGCUGGAGAAUUGAGGGGGGCUGCUCCUAGUACGAGAGGACCGGAGUGGACGCAUCACUGGUGUUCGGGUUGUCAUGCCAAUGGCACUGCCCGGUAGCUAAAUGCGGAAGAGAUAAGUGCUGAAAGCAUCUAAGCACGAAACUUGCCCCGAGAUGAGUUCUCCCUGACUCCUUGAGAGUCCUGAAGGAACGUUGAAGACGACGACGUUGAUAGGCCGGGUGUGUAAGCGCAGCGAUGCGUUGAGCUAACCGGUACUAAUGAACCGUGAGGCUUAACCUU
rnacentral:rRNA from 1 species